rnacentral:lncRNA from 1 species
CUAGGAAACUCAAAGUUAAGUUUAUUACUCAACCCAAUAAGUACAGACAUUAUCCUUACUCCUGGCUUCUUCUUUUUCCUACUCUCAUUUUGCCAGAAGGGACAGCUUGCAAUAUAUCUAAAAUGGAAAAGAGCUUGGUGCCUUCAAGGUACUGAUAGAAGAUGUACUGAUAGAAGAUAGAAGAUUCAACAUGUAGUUGGAUCAUUUUUAGAAUGGCUAGAGAUGAAGCUGGAAAGAUAGACAUGGCAAGCUGGAGGCCUUGGAGGCAGUAAGAAGUUCUGUAUUUUUAUAAUACACUUCAAAGAGUCUACGGCAAAUGAAAUAUAACAAAUCAGUCAAUAAACAAAAUACAUAUAUAAAUAAAUUC